CUGUAGAUCUUUCCCAGCUGGCAGUCCUGUGGAUUGAACUCAAUAAAAGCUAGUUCGUUUUUUUUUUUCCGUUGCAAAAAUCCUAGAGAAAGCCAAACUCCUUGAAUUCCUCAUUGUGGAAUUCCAUUAGGUCAAGAAAAAAGAGCACUGGAAAUCACAACCAUCCAGUAUACCCUCACUCCAUCAACAGAAAGAAGGCUGGCAAGGCAGGUCUGUUUUGGGCCAUUAAGGCUGCUACUGUAGUGAGAGGGAGGAGUCUGAGGCAUUAGUGAUGGAGUGGAACCACAGAACAGUUCAUUUCAACAACAGCCUUCUAGCAAUAUGAAAAACCAUGCCCCAUCACAGAUGUGGCAGGCCAGAAGUUGCCCAUUGCCACAUAAUGAAGAUGUUUGGGAGGUUGUGGCAGUUUUUUCACCCGGAACACAUUUUGUCUGAAUUGCUAUACUGUUCAGCUACUCACAUCAUCUGUUGGCCUCAAAGUGGAAGCAAUUCUGUUUCUUGGUGAAGCACUUUGACAUUUCUGAAUGAGAUAAGUGGAUUUUGUGUUUUCUUUUCUUUCAAGGUUCCUAUUAGGAGUCUAACAUUGAAUGAGUAAUUUUUUUGGUGUUUGUUUUAGAAGCCCUUAUAUCUGCUUGAAACUCCUUUGAUUGGAUGUAGAAACCUGGGGGAGGAGGGGCCUAUGUCUUCAGAAGCAGCAGAUGACUAACAAUUAUUCUGUGUCAAGACAAAAUUACCUUGUAGUAGCAUUGCAUAAUGUCUGGGAUAUUAAUCAUUUGGGAUAUUUUCGCAGUACUCAAUUACAUUAUGAAGGCUGGAUUAUGUUCUGAUCUCUCUAAUGGUCACACAGAAAGGACUGAAGCCUCUAUUAUUUUAUAAUAAGUAAUGCAUACCCCCUGAAUAAUACAUUACACACAUCUUUUCUAUGUGACUCCUAAGGUCAGCUUGUUACCUGAAUAUUUUCAUCCUCCCAGAGCAUUUUGCUUAAAGAGUUUAUUAAAUAGACUUUUUUAUCAUUUCAAUAUGUCUUAACAGCAUGCUAUCACAUACUACUUUUUCUGACUUCUUGAUUUGAUACAAAGUAAAAUUGCAUCAAUAUGGCCAGUGCACAUUCAUUUAGUUAUCAAUUUAAAAGUCUUUCAGAAUCAAACUGAGCCAAUCUUUACACUAAAGACAGCCCCAAAAGAUUCCUAUGAAAAUUACCAUGCAUUUGAAGGUUCCAGAUUUUAAUCUAAUAACUGAAAUAUCAGAAAUAUGUUUUAAUUCAGGCAUUUUGGCAUCACUAACAGGUGUUCACAUUAGAUUUAGGAACCCUGCAGCAAGACUUAUCAUUGUCAAAAAGAAUAUCUUCUUUCAAAACCUUACAAUCCUAAACAUAGAAUCCCCAAAUCUCUUUCAAAUAUCAUUUAUAUUCUAAUAACUUAACCUACCUUAAUUCCCUUGAGCAUUUUGACUAUUUUCACUAGCAUAUACACCCAGCUGAUUUUUAAAAAAAAAAAUUUCAAAGGCUCUUUAAAAGUAUCCUAAAGCCAUGUGCUCCCCAUGAGAAAGCAAGCUCUUUGUAAAGUAAAAAUGCUUUGUACUUUGACGGUCAAUUUUAGUCACCAGCAUCAUCCUCAUAUGUGGAUGGCUGUAAGUCUCAGGAAAUUUGUUUCUCUAAGUUCCAACAAAGUCUUCCAGUUCUAACAUACAUAUAUAUUUUAAUUUGAAGCAGUGUGACAUAGUA